GAUGAACGCUGGCGGCGUGCCUAAUACAUGCAAGUCGAGCGAACAGACGAGGAGCUUGCUCCUCUGACGUUAGCGGCGGAAGGGUGAGUAACACGUGGAUAACCUACCUAUAAGACUGGGAUAACUUCGGGAAACCGGAGCUAAUACCGGAUAAUAUAUUGAACCGCAUGGUUCAAUAGUGAAAGACGGUUUUGCUGUCACUUAUAGAUGGAUCCGCGCCGCAUUAGCUAGUUGGUAAGGUAACGGCUUACUAAGGCAACGAUGCGUAGCCGACCUGAGAGGGUGAUCGGCCACACUGGAACUGAGACACGGUCCAGACUCCUACGGGAGGCAGCAGUAGGGAAUCUUCCGCAAUGGGCGAAAGCCUGACGGAGCAACGCCGCGUGAGUGAUGAAGGUCUUCGGAUCGUAAAACUCUGUUAUUAGGGAAGAACAAAUGUGUAAGUAACUAUGCACGUCUUGACGGUACCUAAUCAGAAAGCCACGGCUAACUACGUG
rnacentral:rRNA from 1 species